ensembl:snRNA U6 U6 spliceosomal RNA
AGGUACUCACUUAAAUAGCCUAUAUACUACAAUUGGAACACACAGAGAAGGUUUACAUGUUCCCUGUGAAUGGAUGAUCAGCAGAUUCAUGGAGUGCCCCAUAUUUUU